GAUGAACGCUGGCGGCGUGCCUAAUACAUGCGAGUCGAGCGAACGGACGAGAAGCUUGCUUCUCUGAUGUUAGCGGCGGACGGGUGAGUAACACGUGGAUAACCUACCUAUAAGACUGGGAUAACUUCGGGAAACCGGAGCUAAUACCGGAUAAUAUUUUGAACCGCAUGGUUCAAAAGUGAAAGACGGUCUUGCUGUCACUUAUAGAUGGAUCCGCGCUGCAUUAGCUAGUUGGUAAGGUAACGGCUUGCCAAGGCAACGAUGCAUAGCCGACCUGAGAGGGUGAUCGGCCACACUGGAACUGAGACACGGUCCAGACUCCUACGGGAGGCAGCAGUAGGGAAUCUUCCGCAAUGGGCGAAAGCCUGACGGAGCAACGCCGCGUGAGUGAUGAAGGUCUUCGGAUCGUAAAACUCUGUUAUUAGGGAAGAACAUAUGUGUAAGUAACUGUGCACACCUUGACGGUACCUAAUCAGAAAGCCACGGCUAACUACGUG
rnacentral:rRNA from 1 species